rnacentral:rRNA from 1 species
CCUACGGGAGGCAGCAGUGGGGAAUUUUGGACAAUGGGCGCAAGCCUGAUCCAGCAAUGCCGCGUGAGUGAAGAAGGCCUUCGGGUUGUAAAGCUCUUUUGUCAGGGAAGAAACGGUGGGGGCUAAUAUCCCUCGCUAAUGACGGUACCUGAAGAAUAAGCACCGGCUAACUACGUGCCAGCAGCCGCGGUAAUACGUAGGGUGCAAGCGUUAAUCGGAAUUACUGGGCGUAAAGCGUGCGCAGGCGGUUUUGUAAGUCUGUCGUGAAAGCCCCGGGCUCAACCUGGGAAUUGCGAUGGAGACUGCAAGGCUUGAAUCUGGCAGAGGGGGGUAGAAUUCCACGUGUAGCAGUGAAAUGCGUAGAGAUGUGGAGGAACACCGAUGGCGAAGGCAGCCCCCUGGGUCAAGAUUGACGCUCAUGCACGAAAGCGUGGGGAGCAAACAGGAUUAGAUACCCUGGUAGUCCACGCCCUAAACGAUGUCUACUAGUUGUCGGGUUUUAAUUAACUUGGUAACGCAGCUAACGCGUGAAGUAGACCGCCUGGGGAUACGGUCGCAAGNUUAAAACNCAAAGGAAUUGACGGCUGAGAGNGCGAGACGACGACGAGGGAGGAGG